ensembl:snoRNA
CCUGCCCCUAGAGGCAUUGUAGAUGUGGCUGCUGUGUCACAUGUGAAUCAGUAGGUGGCAGAGAAGAGAUAAGCUAUGUCUGCAUUAGAGUUCUGACCUGUAAACACCUGACAGAUUAGUAGCCUAACACC